rnacentral:tRNA from 1 species
AGUUAAUGAACUUGAAUAAGUAUAUGUUUUGAAAACAUAAUAAAGAAGUAAAAUCUUCUAUUAACUU